UGGAGGAACAACCCCAGUGUCUGUGGCAGCUCUGGAAACCUUGAUUCAGCUCCCACAGUAACUACGGAGCUCUCAGCCUGCAGGGGCCUGGAUGCUCCGGGGGCGG
rnacentral:pre_miRNA from 1 species